UUGGAAUUGCUAGUAAUGGCGAAUCAGCCAUGUCGCCGUGAAUAUGUCCCUGUUCCUUGCACUCACCGCCCGUCAAACCAUGGGAGUUGAGGUUCUCUGAAGACUCGCAUUGCGGGUUAAGGAGAAAAUCGAUGACUGGGGUUAAGUCGUAACAAGGUAUCCCUACGGGAACGUGGGGAUAGACCACCACCCUAAA
rnacentral:rRNA from 1 species